rnacentral:rRNA from 1 species
GACGAACGCUGGCGGCGUGCUUAACACAUGCAAGUCGAACGGAAAGGCCCUGCUUUUGUGGGUUGCUCGAGUGGCGAACGGGUGAGUAACACGUGAGUAACCUGCCCUUGACUUUGGGAUAACUUCAGGAAACUGGGGCUAAUACCGGAUAUGAGCUCCUGCUGCAUGGUGGGGGUUGGAAAGUUUCGGCGGUUGGGGAUGGACUCGCGGCUUAUCAGCUUGUUGGUGGGGUAGUGGCUUACCAAGGCUUUGACGGGUAGCCGGCCUGAGCGGGUGACCGGCCACAUUGGGACUGAGAUAAGGCCCAGACUCCUACGGGAGGCAGAAGUGGGGAAUAUUGCACAAUGGGCGGAAGCCUGAUGCAGCAACGCCGCGUGCGGGAUGACGGCCUUCGGGUUGUAAACCGCUUUCGCCUGUGACGAAGCGUGAGUGACGGUAAUGGGUAAAGAAGCACCGGCUAACUACGUG